rnacentral:lncRNA from 1 species
ACUUCAGAGGAAUGGCAUUAUCCCACUAUGAAACCAUUAAUUUCUAGGCAUCAACAGUGAGAACUGGGCAAAGCACAUGAGAUGUCUAAGAUCUGCCAGGAAAAGGACCAUGAAGGACUUGCCUGUGGUCAAGAAUCUACAUCUCAGUAUUUGUACAGUUGAGCCGAAAUGCCUGUUCUAACAAAGAGAGCCUGGUGUAUUCAGCUGGAACUCGUCAGCAUUUCAAGGGAAAGAAGUCACUCACUAAUUAAUGCUGGAGGUGGUGGGACUGCCAAGAUGAAUAGACAUAAUCCUCGAUCUAACCACUUCACAGUUUAUCAUCGGAGUCAAGUUUGCAGAUAAACAAUUGCCAUGCAACUUUCAAGCUCACUUCUCAGCUACCUAGGGCAAAAGCUGCUGCCAGAGUUCUAACAUUCAUAUGUUUGCAUAUUGUUAUGGGUUGCAAUUUGGAGAAGAAAAGAGGGCUGUGAUCUUCCUUUCAAAAGAAACUCCUUGGAAGCACCACACUUCUGUUUAUUUCUCAUUGACUAGAACAUAGUCAAGUCAUGGGAUUCUGGGUAAUGUAGUAAUUUAACUGGAUGGAUAUAUGCCCAGCUAGUUGGAGUUCU